AUGAAAAGAUACUGUCAUUUGCUAUCAGGAAAGUGUGAAUUAAAACCAUGGCAAAAUACAUCAUGAAAAGAUUUAAAGUAGAAAAGACUGCCAGUACCAAGUGUGGGUAAGGAAAAGGAGGCAUUGGAAUUCUUGUGGAUUGCUAAGACAAUUGCCUUGAAAAAUAAUUUCUGAACAGUUAGAUACAAAACCGGCACUGGCCACAACUAUGUCACAACUAAUGGAAGAAGGCAUACUUCUGUGCAAAGAUAUGAAAAGAAUAUUCAGAGCAUGCUUCAUUUGUAAUAGGCCUAUGUAGUAUGUAGUUUCUACUACCCUGCUUUAAGUUCUGGUGGACAGCACUACCAGCCAUCACCCAGGUUUCCUUGGAUGCACAGAUGAAAUACACACACACACACACACACACACACACACACACACCCCAGCUUAUUUUUAAAUAUGCUUUUAGCUUUAGCUCAAUGGCUGGGCUCUUCCCUCCCUCAGCUAGCGUGCCCUUCUCUUUACUCCCAGCUCAAUACCUCUAACUCUGCCCUCAACUCAGUUGCUCAGAUACCUUUAGUCCUAGCUCAGCACCCUAAAUCUGCCCUUGGCUUAGUUGCAUUUCUAAUCUCCCUCCUGCUACCCCAGGCCCAGUUAGGGAAGCAGCCAACGGCCACUUCACCUGAGAUCUCCCAUGGCAGGUGGCUCUCUCUCCCUCUGAAGUGUGAUGAACCCUCUUUCCUCCUCCUGUGUCUACAGCCUGCCUGUGGGAGCCUCUUCUACCCAGCCAUUGGCCACUAGCAUCUUUAUUGAUUGAUCAAGAACCAACCGGGGAACAGGACCUUUAGCAUUUAUGUGCAGAUUCCAGAACAGAAUCAGAAGCGCCUCCUACAGGCCUACGCUGGGGACAGCCCAAACGUCCACCAAUGAGGGAGCAGAGAAGCGUAUUAUGAUAUAUUCCUACGCUUGCUUUUGGUUAUGGUGUUUCAUCGUGGCGAUAAAAAACCUGACCAGGACAACUACCAAGAUGGAGAUUCAGUGACCUCCUUAGACUCGGAUUUCUAUAACGACUUUGCCAGAACAAGUCAGCAGCAGAGCAGAGCCACGUGAGGAGAGUGGAAAGCAUCUGGGAUCUGACUCAAGCAAUGUCCAGGAUGGACUUGGAUGGAGUCAUACUUUGAUUUGGUGUUUGAAUCAAAGAUGGAUGCAAUUCAUAUCACCUCCGUGGAAGAAAUGUUCAUGAAACUCAAGUAAUGUAGUUUCUUUCGUCUUCCUUUAAAAACUGUGGCACAAUAAACUUGUUAGUUUUACCACCUUUGCCAUUUCCAAGUAUAUAGUUCAGAGAAGUGUUAAGUGCUAUGGGUGUUUUAUACCCAUUACUUUUAUCUAUCUGCAGAAGGUUUCCAUCACUUGAAUUGAAAUUCUACCUAUCUGAUAAUGACAGCCCAUUUUCCUUCCCCACGAGCCUAUGGUGACUAGUGUCUUCACGUAAGUGAAAGCACACAGUAUUUAUCCUCCUGUGUGCCUGUCUUGUUCACUCAGUGUGUCUUCACAGAUCCCUUGUUUAUUUCCUCUUGGAGAAAGUCUGUUCAAGUUCCCUGCCAAUUUUUAAUAAAGCUACCGCUUGAUGUCAGGUCACAGGAGCUCCUCGUGUAUUCUGGACUCCAAUCCCUCAUUAGAUAUGUGCUUUAUAAACAUUUCCUCACUUCUCUGAUUUGCCGCUUUUGUUCUUUUGGUAGAAUCUUUCGAUAUGUUCUGGAAUGA